CCUACUCAUCAGUUAAACACUCUCUUCUCUCGUUUGUUUUUCUCUCUCUCUGAGUUUGAGACUGAGUCUGACUCUCUCUCCCUAAAAGAGGAAAACGGCGUUUCUCAUGGUGGUCAGUCAGGUCAACUCAUCAUCAUCACAACCACCACAACUGAGUCAGUUACAGUAUUAUUGACUCACUCGUCUUUCUUGUUAAACAAACAGAUAGAAACAAAUAGAGUCGUACUUGUACUACUCCUUCGUUGUUAUUGUCUGUUGCCGAAAGCAGCAGACUGUUUUUUUUUUUUUAAUUUAUUUUUCUCUUGUUAAAAUCUCUCAUCGGGAUAAUCAUCAACAUCAAGCAGCAGCAGCUGAGUGUGAUUAAUUGAUUUGGAUGAUGCGUAAAAUGGGAAGCGUGAGAAAGAAUUUCAGCGCAAAUCCAGGGGAUUAUAAGUUAUUAGAAGAAGUAGGUUAUGGAGCAAGUGCUACUGUUUUUAGGGCGAUCUAUCUUCCUACUAAUGAAGUUAUUGCUGUCAAGUGCUUAGAUCUUGAUCGAUGCAAUAGUAAUCUCGAUGACAUACGCAAGGAGGCACAAACAAUGAUUUUGAUUGAUCAUCUGAAUGUGAUUAAGGCGUUUUGUUCGUUUGUUGUUGAACAAUGUCUUUGGGUGGUAAUGCCAUUUAUGGCUGAAGGUUCUUGUCUACACCUAAUGAAGAUUGCAUAUCCAGAUGGAUUUGAAGAGUUUGUUAUUGCUACUAUCCUUAAAGAAACACUUAAAGCUUUGGAGUAUCUACAUCGGCAUGGGCAUAUACAUCGUGACAUCAAGGCUGGAAAUAUACUGCUUGAUAGCGAUGGAAUAGUGAAGCUUGGGGAUUUCGGAGUGUCAGCUUGUAUGUUUGACAAGGGUGACAGGCAACGGUCAAGGAAUACUUUUGUAGGAACUCCAUGCUGGAUGGCUCCAGAAGUUUUGCAGCCGGGAAGUGGAUACGAUUUUAAAGCUGAUAUCUGGUCAUUUGGGAUAACUGCUUUAGAGUUGGCCCAUGGUCAUGCUCCAUUCUCAAAGUACCCUCCGAUGAAGGUUCUUCUAAUGACCAUCCAGAAUGCCCCUCCUGGACUCGAUUAUGAUCGAGAUAAAAAGUUUUCCAAGUCCUUUAAAGAAAUGGUUGCCAUGUGCUUGGUGAAAGAUCAAACAAAGAGGCCAACUGCGGAGAAAUUAUUAAAGCAUUCUUUUUUCAAACAUGCAAAACCUCCAGAGCUUUCUGUAAAGAACCUUUUGAAAGAUUUGCCACCACUUUGGGACCGCGUAAAGGCCCUCCAGCUCAAAGAUGCUGCACAAUUGGCUUUGAAGAAAAUGCCCUCAGCAGAGCAAGAAGCAAUAUCGCAGAACGAGUACAAGCGAGGCGUGAGUGCGUGGAACUUCGAUGUUGAAGACUUGAAAGCUCAAGCGUCCCUGGUUCUUGAUUAUGAUGAUGAGCAAGGGCUGAAAGAAGAAGAUGAGUCCAUGGAUUUAUUUUCUAAUCACAAGCAUGCAUCUUCAUCUAAAUCCAACUUGGCAAAUUCCCCUCCAAAUAGAAGUGCUCUGAGGGGUAGUGUAAGCAGUGCUGAACUAUCACGGUAUGGGAGCUCGAAUGGAAAAGGGGUAAUUGUGGAACCUAAUUGCAAUAAUGGCAGUCAAGAAAAAUCUGAUCUGUGUGAAAAAGAGGUAUUGGGUAGUGACUCAGUGUUGUCAACACCAGACAAGGGUGUGUUGCAAGGUCCACCUCAGAACCAAACUGUUACAGGCCGCCAAACUCGAAGUGGACCACUCAUGCCUAAUGCUGUGCUUUCUCAUUCACAAUCAGAAAGAGGGCGUUUAUAUGAAAGGUGUGUGGCGGAGAACCAACCAGUGCCUGAGAAAGGCAAAUCCAAUGUACGAAGGGCUCCCAGCUUUAGUGGCCCUCUGAUGCUCCCAAACCGAGCUUCUGCAAACAGUUUAUCAGCUCCAAUAUGGCCUUCAGGAGGAUUCAGAGAUGAGGAUAAAUCAAAGGGCAAUGUGGUACAAAUUAAAAAAGGCCGGUUUUCAGUGACGUCUGAGAGUUUGGAUCCUGGAAAGGACUUUCCCUCAUGUACAGUUCCACGAGGAUCCUCAACGGGGUCGUCGCCUCUUAGAAAAUCUGCAAGUGUUGGCGAAUGGCUAUUUGAUGCUAGACCAAUGCCUAACAACCUAUCACCAAAGGAAGGGAGCAACAACGCGGUGCCUACAUCGCUUCUUAUGCCUCACCUUCAGAAUAUAUUACAGCAGACCACGAUACAACAAGAUCUCAUUACGAAUUUGUUGAGUACCUUGCAACUAACUGACGUAGUAGAUGGUGGUCAUACAGGAAAUACGCAAGUACAACCUUUAGAAAACAAUGCAGCUGUUGACCCAGCUGCUUCCGAAAGAGAGCGGUUGUUACUGCUUAAAGUGUCAGAACUUCAGGCCAGAAUGAUCACUUUAACGGAUGAACUUACUUCCGAAAAGUUGAAACACUUACAGCUAAAACAACAACUAAGUUAUAUGAGUGGUCGAGAAGAAGGAAGUAGCAGAAAAGGAGAAAGGGAGAGUUGAAGAAACCAAAUUCCUGAUCACUGUAAAAAGCGCAAAGCACCAUGUAAUUCAAAACCUUGUAGAAAGAAGCGAAAGCUGGAGCAGAGCGGGCGGCCAUUUUAGUUCCCUGGCAUUGAUAUUCCCAUUAUUUUACUGAAGGAACUUGUGUGAAAGAUCUCACAGCCUUCUCAGCGUGAUGUCGAAUACAGAAACAAGAAAACAUAAACGGAAACAAAAAAAAAAUCUAGUUAUCUCAAAAACAGUAAAUUCAUUCGGUUUCGUUCAUUAUAAAGUGCACAGAGUUGAAACCUGAUCGGUGACUAUGAUUUGUAGUAGAAGUAGUAGAAGCGAUAGAAGAGAGCAGUUUCCGGCGAAGCCAAUUAUUUAUAAACCAAGUCAAUCGCCGACCUGGAAUUUGGGCUGUUUGGUUGGCAAUGGUGAUGUUGUAUUUAUAUUUACUAAGUACAAAAAACGAAUUAAUUAUACAUUUAGAAAAAAAUAAACGCACAUCUUGUCCAUGGCUAAGCAAUAAGGCUGCAUGGUGUACUAUUAUGGCAAAAAAAGUUGUCAGUGCCAAUUGUUUGGCCCUUGUAUUUUUGAGGUUUGUUCAAUGUAUUGUUAUUGCCUUUCUGGUUCUUUGGCA